rnacentral:lncRNA from 1 species
CUCCUUUCAGUAUGAGAUGUUGAACAUCAACCACUUUGUGAUAAGUGAACCACUCUCUCUAAAUUGUUUUUGUUUGGUUGCUUAAGUGUUUUCUACCAGGAGUUGAAAAAAAAAGGAAACAUGUUACUUUUGUAAAGGCAAAUUAGACAAGUUAGACUUGAUUGUAAUUUGAUAGUAAUUAGGUUAAUUUCUCUCACAAGGGAAAUUUGACCGGGAAAUUUUGGAAAGCUAGUUUUUACUGGCAGUCAUUUAGAAGGGUAAAUAAGCACUUAAAAUUUUUUUCACUAAUAUUUCUGUAACUAUUUGAAGCUGACAUACUGUAAUCUCAAAAA